rnacentral:lncRNA from 1 species
AUGGAGAGAGAGAGAGCAGUGCUGCGGUGCUCUUAAGAGUACAUAGAUUUUCAUGUUCCUAAAUUAUUUUCGAUAAUAAAAUUUUCGAACAACAAUCGACUCUGUUAUACUUAAUUAAUCUAACGUAUUUGAAAUAUCUAAAAAAUAGAUUUUGCGAUUUUUUGAUAUUAAUUCUCAACAGUAGAAAACUAAAUGGUUUAAAU